GGUAUUUAUGAGAGUUAUAUUCCGGGAAAAUGUUCUUUUUCAGCCCAUGAGUGUGUAGUGGGUCAGCCCGGCCACUCCCACAAGACCUUGACCGCACAGGGGUUGCCAGUCCUCAGCCACUGCAAGAUGAUACGUUUCACCACCUGAGAGAUCCACUGACUGUCAGCAGACCUACACUCAGCUGUAACAAGUUACAUUACGAGACCCGGCCAGGGACCUCAAGCUACACGAUAAGCCCACUGGAGUUUAAUAGGUCUACUGUGGCAUCAAGGAGACCCAACAUCUGGCGACAGAGAUAAGUGCCAUAAUAAUAUCUAAUACCUGUC